UCGUGAAGAGCAACUUCUACUUAUUGUUUUCUUGCGUUGCAAUGGACUUACGGCUGCUAGUUACUAUACAGUAGACUCGGGAAGUUACUCGCAUGCAUAUCUCUGAAUACCCAAGGGCGGGGCAACUCCGAUCACUCCUCUGCGCGUCAUUUCUGCUGCUGCAAGCUGCAUUUGGAGCAUGUCCAAGGGUCCUCGUCUUCUGGAAGCUCUGAAAGCCCAGCACAAUCGUAGUGAUACCACCGCCAACAGUGUUCACAACCCACCCAAUCUUCUUGCCUCUCAUUGCUGUCGUUGUCGAACAAUCCUCCGCAUCCCUGGCACUUGUUUUCAUCUCUUUCUUCUGUUACUGCAGUUUUUCGUUUGCCUUGGCGUGCAGAGUACGCCUCAUGACUUGUUAUGACUUCUCCAUAGUAUGCCAAGUCUACACGAGCAGAUGGCUUUGGCUGUGGUGGUGGAAUAGGCGUUCUUGUUUUCUGGAACAACUUGGAGAAGUGGUGUCUAAGCUGAAGUUUGAUUGCAGGAGUGGUAGCUGCUGUCGGAGAACGAGGGCUCUUGCAUGGUGUUCGUGUAGUAACGGCAUCUGCUGGACUAAUUUUUGCUUGAGGAAUGGCUGCAGCUGAUGGCUUUGGAUAUAAACCAGCUCCUCGAAAUGCACCUUGAAAUUGGUGUGGUUUCAUGGAUGUGUCUGUCAGCUGUUUUAGUAAUUUGGGAAAAAUUGUUUUACGGACACCUUGUCCCCUUGUUCUUCGUUUGUAGUCGAUCAGAAUUUUCUGCCAAUUUUUCUUCAUGGGAGCAAACACGCCUACAUCCAGAGGUUGUAAUGCGUGCGUGGUAUUUGGAGGCAGGGUUACGAGAAUGAUGUUGUAUUUUCUUGCCACAUUGAUGACAUCCAAGUUGAUGUGUGAAUAGUGUCCAUCGAAAAACAAGAUCACGCUGGGGCUAGUAUCAUCUGUGAAGUCUGAGUCAUCACUACUGUCACUGACAAGACUUGGUUCUGUUGUCGUCAGUGUAGUAGAUGGCUCUUCAUUUUCUGCAAUCAGUUUCAUCUUCUUGAGCACUGGUAUGAAGCCUUUUACAAACCAGCUGUAAAAGUUUUGUUUUUCCAUCCACCCGCUGGCUGAUACUCCAUACAUUGCUUCAGUAGGGCCACUAAGGGUCCAGGUAUGAUACAAGUGCUGAGCUUUAUAUAGAAUAUAGGGAGGGAUUUUGUCUCCAUUGGUAUUUCCACCCCAAUGGACAGUAAUGUAUUCACGUCCACUCCCUGCCAUGGUCUCAUAUACAGACUUAGCUCCUCUCCUAGCUAGGACCAUUCUAGAUGAGGAGGCUGUAGCAAAAGCGGUUUCAUCACAGUUCCAAAUUCUUUUGGACAGCUCUUUCUUACUCAGUUUAAACAACCCAGCCUUCCUGUAGAUCUUCUCGACAAAUUUCAUCCAACCCUCAAUUCUCUCUUUGGUCAAUGCCUUAGCACGUUUCUUUGACAGAUGUUGUGGUUUCCUUUGACUCAGUGCACUCUUCCGUCGCUUAAAGAAGCCAACAAACCAGUCAGGACCAGGUAAAUCAUCAGGAAAAGGAUUUUCUCUAGCAUUUGCUCUAAGGUAAUCUGAGAUGACGUUGCUGAGACUUGAUCUAUCAAGGGGAAACCCCAUCUCUUGCAGCACAAUGCAACAUUGCACUAUUUCUCUCUCUUCCUGGUAAGUCAAGACUGUUGGCCGUCCACCGUAUUGCGUUUUACUGACUCCCUUGUGAUGAUCGCGAAGGGUUGAGUAGGGAAUGCCGUACACAGCUGCCGUCUUCCUUAUGCUGUCCUGGUUUUCAGCAAGAUCUUGCAGUGCCUUUCUCAGGGCUUCGUCAGAGAACUUGUUCUUAAUUCCUUUAGGUUGAUAAUGUCGUACCAUUAUUGCAAAGUAAACGAAUAAAGCAGAUCAGAACGCAAGCGAAGUAAGUCUACGACUGUGACAAUGUGAUCGAAUUUUGGACUCUAAAGGAAGGGCAACGGUGCGUUUUGUCUGCAUCAACGUAUUUAGUGGUAGAGUGGGUUGCACAAAAUAGCAUUUAGUCUUUUGGAUUGUCUCUAACAAGAAAGUUUUUGGACCGCAAGUUCCGCUACCUAGGUCGUUCUCACAACAAACAAGCCGUUUGAGACACAACGGCAAGGACUUAGUGGUUAUGUCACUGCCUGCUAAAACCACGAAGGGUCGUCUACUUACGUGCUGUAAUGGGAAAGGCGUACGGUUUUCUCAUCAACAACGCU